rnacentral:tRNA from 1 species
CAGAGCGUAGCUAAGAAGUAUAGCACCUCCCUUACACCGAGGAGUCACCCGUGCAAUCCGGGUCGCGCUGA